GUCCUUGUGGCGAAGCUUCGAACCGAAGCCCCAGUAAACGGCGGCCGUAACUAUAACGGUCCUAAGGUAGCGAAAUUCCUUGUCGGGUAAGUUCCGACCUGCACGAAUGGCGUAACGACAUCCCCACUGUCUCGGCCAGCAACUCAGCGAAAUUGUACUGAGGGUGAAGAUACCCUCUACCCGCGGCAAGACGGAAAGACCCCGUGAACCUUCACUGCAACUUGGCAGUGAUGCUCGGAACAGUCUGCGCAGGAUAGGUGGGAGGCUUUGAAGUCGGGAUUUUGGUCCCGAUGGAGCCACCCUUGAGAUACCACCCUGGCUGUUCUGGGCGUCUAACCCAGGCCCGUUAUCCGGGUCGGGGACACUGUCUGGUGGGCAGUUUGACUGGGGCGGUCGCCUCCCAAAAAGUAACGGAGGCGCGCGAUGGUUCCCUCAGGCUGAUUGGAAACCAGCCGUAGAGUGCAAAGGCAUAAGGGAGCUUGACUGUGAGAGUGACAACUCGAGCAGGUGCGAAAGCAGGCCUUAGUGAUCCGGUAUCUCCGAAUGGAAGGGAUAUCGCUCAACGGAUAAAAGGUACUCCGGGGAUAACAGGCUGAUCGCGCCUGAGAGUCCAUAUCGGCGGCGCGGUUUGGCACCUCGAUGUCGGCUCAUCCCAUCCUGGGGCUGGAGCAGGUCCCAAGGGUUUGGCUGUUCGCCAAUUAAAGGGGUACGCGAGCUGGGUUUAGAACGUCGUGAGACAGUUCGGUCCCUAUCUGCCGUGGGCGCAGGACACUUGAGAGGAUCUGACCAUAGUACGAGAGGACCUGGUUGGACGUACCUCUAGUGAGCCGGUUGUUCUGCCAAGGGCAUCGCCGGGUAGCUAUGUACGGAACGGAUAACCGCUGAAAGCAUCUAAGCGGGAAGCCGGCCUCGAGAUGAGGUGUCCCGGACCGCAAGGUCCCUAAAGGCCCCUUGAAGACUACGAGGAAAUAGGCCGGAUGUGGAAGCAUAGUAAUAUGCGGAGCUGACCGGUACUAAUCGGCCGUGAGGCUUGACCUAUCUC
rnacentral:rRNA from 1 species